GAGCACGUAGGUGGGUUUAGUAAGCCAGAUGUGAAAGCCUCCUGUUCAACGGGAGAAUUGCAUCUAAAACUACUGAUCUUGAGUGUAGGAGGGGAGAAUGGAACUUCUGGUGGAGCGGUGAAAUGCGUAGAUAUCAGAAGGAACGCCGGCGGCGAAAGCGAUUCUCUGGCCUAUUACUGACACUCAGUGUGCGAAAGCUAGGGGAGCAAACGGGAUUAGAUACCCCGGUAGUCCUAGCCGUAAACGAUGGGCACUAAGUAGAGGGGUUUU
rnacentral:rRNA from 1 species